UGUUAAAAAUUUCAUCCACUUGUAUUGUUAAAAGUUGACGUGGCUGAUGGAAUAAUCAAACAGUAACAUGUGGUGUGCCAAUUAUACCUCAUGUUGAUGUAUGGAGACCAAUUUUUAACAGUAAAAAUAGAUAAAAUUUUUAACA
rfam:Gossypium hirsutum cultivar TM-1 unplaced genomic scaffold scaffold190.1, whole genome shotgun sequence